CCUACGCGUGGCAGCAGUGGGGAAUAUUGCACAAUGGGGGAAACCCUGAUGCAGCACCGCCGCGUGAGUGAAGAAGGUUUUCGGAUUGUAAAGCUCUUUUAGCAGGGAAGAGGAAGGACGGUACCUGCAGAGGAAGCCACUGCUAACUACGUGCCAGAAGGCGCGGUAAUACGUAGGUGGCAAGCGUUGUUCGGAAGAACUGGGCGUAAAGGAUGCGUAGGCGGUUAAACAAAUUAUAUGUUAAGUAUAUAGGCUUAACCUGUAGAAAGCAUAUAAAACUGUUUAACUAGAGUGCAGGAGAGAGAAGUGGAAUUACAAGUGUAGCGGUGAAAUGCGUAGAGAUAAGGAAGAACACCAGUGGCGAAGGCGACUUACUGGACUGUAACUGACGCUGAGGCAUGAGAGCAUGGGGAGCAAACAGGAUUAGAUACCCCUGUAGUC
rnacentral:rRNA from 1 species